CACCACCUCUGGGCUUUCUGAGAUUCUUCCUGGCAAAGUUAAUCUCUUCUGCUGGACUCCUUUAACAGGUUGUUUCCUCAUCCACUCUAGUAUUCUCCACCUUGGACCGCCACCAUUUGUUAGCCUACUUCCUGAUAAAAAAAAAUUAAUAAUUAACGUUUAUGAAACAAUCACCAUCUUCCAGGAACUGUGCUAGGCUUUGUACAUAGAUUGUCUCCUUUGAUCCUCACCAAAACCCAGGUACUGUUGUAAUUCUCAUUUUCAACUAGGAAACUAUGGCUGAGAAAGUGAAAGACUGGUUCAAGGUCCCACAGCUAGAGACUACAGGCAAACUCAGAAUGAGAAUCAGUUCUGGUGGCCUCCAAAACCUGGACUCUUUGUCCACAUGCUUAAAAAACCUCUCCCCUAAACUUCUGGCUCCUGGAAACCUGAACCCCUUCGUGCCCACUUUCCUAACCCAGCAUCUAGACCAGCGCUCACCUAGGACUAAGUGCCUGAGGCAGGCAGAAGUUCCCGGUGUCAGGGAUAAAACCCAGGCCAUAGCAGUGACCCAAGAGCUGCUGCAGUGACAACGCCGGAUCCUUAACCUGCUAAUAUGUUUUCUUUAAAAAAAAAAUUAGAAAAAAUAAAAAUAAAUUUAAAAAAAAUUAGAGGGGUGUUCCUGUCGUGAUGCAGUGGAAACCAAUCCAACUAGGAACUAUGAGGUUUCGGGUUCAAUCCCUGGCCUCGCUCAGUGGGUUAAGGAUCCAGUGUUGCCAUGAGCUGUGGUGUAGGUCGCAGACACGGCUCAGAUCUGUCGUUGCUGUGGCUAUGGCAUAGGGUGGCAGCUACAGCUCUGAUUCAACCCUUGGCCUGGAACCUCCAUAUGCUAUGGGUGCAGCCUUAAAAAAACAAAAAAUGAAAACAAAAAAAUACAAUAAAAAUCAGAGUUCUCUUGUGGCACACAGCAGUUCUUCUGCUUGCUGCAACUGUGGCCAAAAAAAAAAAAAAAAAAAAAAAAAAAAAAAA
rnacentral:lncRNA from 1 species